rnacentral:hammerhead_ribozyme from 1 species
AGCCGAAACCGGGCUUCGGCCCGGUCUGCGGGAAAUGGCCACCCCGUGCUGAUGAGGCAGGCCGAA